GCGGAGGGRAAAGAAACUAACAAGGAUUCCCUUAGUAACUGCGAGUGAAACGGGAAAAGCUCAACGCUGAAUCUCUAUGGUUUAAAUACUAUAGCGAACUGUAGCGUAUAGGAAUGUAUUAUGGCAUUAUGUAGAUAUCCAAGUUCUCGUUGAUUCGAGUUCCAUAGAAGGUUUAAGACCUGUCGGGUAUCUAACAUUUUGUCAAUGAUAUGUCCCUGUGAGUCGGGUUGUUUGGAAACGCAGCCCAAAGUAGGUGGUAAACUCCAUCUAAAGCUAAAUAUAACCGUGAGACCAAUAGUAAACAAGUACUGUGAAGGAAAGUUGAAAAGUACUCUGAAGAGAGAGUUAAAAGAACGUGAAAACGAUCAAGUGGAAGCAAACAGGUCUGUUGGAAGAUAUGUAUUUUUAUAUAUGUCUGAUAAUAGAUAUGUAAAGUUGUAUAUCUUAGUAUAUGAGGAGCCAUUUAUGGAAAACCCUAUAUUGAGUUAAAACAAUCUUUAUAUAUACUAUUAUCAUUAAUGACAGUUACCUGUUUGACCCGUCUUGAAACACGGACCAAGAAGUUUAUUGUAUACGCGAGUCAUUAAGUGUUAAACUUAUUGGCAUAAUGAAAGUAAAGGUAUAGUAAUAUACUUAUGUGGGAUAAUGUAUUUAUGAAUACAUUCGCACCACAGUCCUGUUAUAGUGGUUUACCAUAUAGCGGAGAUAUAGCGUAUGCAAUGAGACCCGAAAGAUGGUGAUCUAUGCUUGAGCAGGAUGAAGCCGGAGGAAACUCUGGUGAAAGUCCGUAACGGUUCUGACGUGCAAAUCGAUCGUCUGACUUGAGUAUAGGGGCGAAAGACUAAUCGAACCAUCUAGUAGCUGGUUCCUUCCGAAA
rnacentral:rRNA from 1 species